rnacentral:rRNA from 1 species
UGGGGAAUAUUGGACAAUGGGGGCAACCCUGAUCCAGCAAUGCCGCGUGUGUGAAGAAGGUCUUCGGAUUGUAAAGCACUUUCGACGGGGACGAUGAUGACGGUACCCGUAGAAGAAGCCCCGGCUAACUUCGUGCCAGCAGCCGCGGUAAUACGAAGGGGGCUAGCGUUGCUCGGAAUGACUGGGCGUAAAGGGCGUGUAGGCGGUUUACACAGUCAGAUGUGAAAUCCCCGGGCUUAACCUGGGAG